UCACCGCUUGCGCGGGCAGUCUCAUUAGAGUCCCCAGCAUGACCUGAUGGCAACUAAUGAUAGGGGUUGCGCUCGUUACGGGACUUAACCCAACACCUCACGGCACGAGCUGACGACAGCCAUGCAGCACCUAGUUUCGUGUCCUUGCGGAAGUUCUGCUUUCACAGAAUGUCACUAACUUUCAAGCCCAGGUAAGGUUCCUCGCGUAUCAUCGAAUUAAACCACAUGCUCCUCCGCUUGUGCGGGCCCCCGUCAAUUCCUUUGAGUUUCAACCUUGCGGUCGUACUCCCCAGGUGGAUAACUUAAUGCUUUCGCUUAGUCGCUGACUGUGUAUCGCCAACAACGAGUUAUCAUCGUUUAGGGCGUGGACUAC
rnacentral:misc_RNA from 1 species